AAUAUUGCACAAUGGGGGAAACCCUGAUGCAGCCAUGCCGCGUGUGUGAAGAAGGCCUUCGGGGUUGUAAAGCACUUUCAGUAGGGAGGAAGGUAGUGUAGUUAACACCUGCAUUAUUUGACGUUACCUACAGAAGAAGCACCGGCUAACUCCGUGCCAGCAGCCGCGGUAAUACGGAGGGUGCGAGCGUUAAUCGGAAUUACUGGGCGUAAAGCGCAUGCAGGCGGCCUGUUAAGUCAGAUGUGAAAGCCCGGGGCUUAACCUCGGAAUUGCAUUUGAAACUGGCAGGCUAGAGUCUUGUAGAGGGGGGUAGGAAUUUCAGGUGUAGCGGUGAAAUGCGUAGAGAUCUGAAGGAAUACCAGUGGCGAAGGCGGCCCCCUGGACAAAGACUGACGCUCAGAUGCGAAAGCGUGGGGAGCAAACAGGAUUAGAUACCCUGGUAG
rnacentral:rRNA from 1 species